GGAGGCGUGGCCGAGUGGUCGAAGGCAGCGGUUUUGAAAACCGCCGAGGGUUUACGCCCUCCGAAGGUUCGAAUCCUUUCGCCUCCG
rnacentral:tRNA from 1 species